ACGCUCGACACCUACAGGAGGCAGCAGUCGGGAAUAUUGCGCAAUGGAGGAAACUCUGACGCAGUGACGCCGCGUAUAGGAAGAAGGUUUUCGGAUUGUAAACUAUUGUCGUUAGGGAAGAAAAAGACAGUACCUAAGGAGGAAGCUCCGGCUAACUACGUGUCAGCAGCCGCGGUAAUCUGAGCGGGCUGGCAAGGC
rnacentral:rRNA from 1 species